GUCUUCUGGUCUUCAUUUUUUCUGAGAUAAAAUCAUCAGUUUUCUGAAUUGUAAUUCCUUGUAUGUAGCAUGUUAAUUUCUCUGGCUCCUUCUAUGUUUUUCUCUUUGACUUUGGUUUUUGGCAGUUUAAUUAUGAUGUGUCCAUAUGUUGCCUUCUUUGUAUUUAUCCUAAUGGGUUAGCAGAUGUUCCAGUUACUAUUACUGCAUAAUAAACCAUCUCUAAAUUUAGUGGCUUAAACAACAGCAACCAUUUUCUGAUCUCUCACUGUCUUUGGCUCAGGACUCAGGAUGGGCAACAGCUCAUCUCUGCUUGGUAAGGUCUACAGCUUCAACUGAGGACUUUAAUCCUGAGGGUAACUCAAGAGCAGGAGCAGGAAACAUCAGCGGCCAUCCUCACUCCUGCAUGUCUGGCCAUUGGUGCUGCCUGUCAGGUGGGACAGCAGUGGAGCUAUCAGCAAGAACACCCUCAGGGCCUUCUCAUGUGGCCACUGCAGCCUCAUCAUAGGAUGGAGCCUGUGCUCUAAGAGGGAGCACCCCAAGCUCUACCACCUUUUAUGACUCAUCUCAGAAGUCACAAAGGGUUCCUUUCCUAAAUUCCUAGCUCCUACAAAACUCAAGGGGAAGGAAUAGAGACCACUGGGUGUCUGCCAUGGUGGUCUCUAAAGGAGAAUAGAGGAAGUAGUUAAGUUGAAAUCCAGCAAACAUUCUACAUUAGGGGUGAACUGGGGCAAGGAACAAGGUGACCCCACAUUCCAAGCUAGUGGUUAAAUGGAGGUUAUAAUAAUUCAUCAAAGAGAGGUUAGCACAGAAAGAUCUAGAAUAACACCCAGUCAGCCAUGACAGACUGCAUUUUCCAAAUGUGUCCACAAUGAUAUCUGCCACAACACAUGUUCUUUGAGAACCCUGUUACUUUCUAACUCUUGAGUACAGGCAGGUUCGAGGUCAUUUUUAACCACAGGUUAUGCUGGAGUGGUGCAGUGUUACUCUUGAAACCUGGUGCUACAAGGCAACAUGUUUCUUCCUUGCUGGUGAGACAUUUGUUCUCUGACGUCUUAGGUGCUGUGCACGGAGCUCGACUAUCCUGAAUCCACCAUGAUUCGACCUCAUGUCAGUCCUUUGGCUGCCAGCCCAGUUCAACUCCAAGCUGAUGACCAGUGUCGACCGCCAGUCAUUCUGAACAUUUGACCAGUUGAGCUUUCAAAUGAUGGCAGUCCUGGCUGACAUUUUGGGUGAACAAUAUGAGAGACUGACUGGUUGAGCCCUUCCCAAAUUUCUGACCCACAACAUUGUGAGAAAAAUAAUCUUAAGCCUCUCAGUUUGGGGACAAUUUGUUACUCAGCAAUAGAAAUGAAAAUAUGAUCUCAGUAGGACCAUGUGACUUGCAGCAACCAGGGUGACAAUGAACGUCCCUGCAGAUACCCGAGGAGGGGACGCAUGAAGGUUCCCUAGGUGCCCUGUAAAUCUACAGCUUCCUGCUUUCCUCUGCCACAAACACAUGACACGCUGUACCUCUACACCUAAUCUUUUGGUUUGGAAAGGAACGGAAGGUGAUAGAAAUCUGAAAGUUGCGACUGAGGUUUACCAUCCUAAACACAUUAUUUCAGGAGACUAACUCCAAGAUGAUUGGCAUGAACUAGAAUUUUUCUCCCCUUUCUUAUAAAGCAAAUGGGACAGCUCAGGAGGAAGAUCGGAGCAGUUAUAUACAAAAAAUUAACACACAAAUGAAGCAACCACGUGGCCUCUGUGUAUAUGGAGAAAAGUGUGAGCAAAUGUGGGGCCCUAAUACAGAAUGUCAGCCAGGAAGACGAGGAAGGCAGACCUCCCUAGAACAGUGGUACAAGACAUUGGUGGUCAUCUUAACAGAUGUGCACUGACUGAUAUCCUUCAGAAUAGGAAGGAAAUGUGAGAUCUUAAGAAGGAAUUCUAGGGGAGGUCUCAGCUUUACCCCCUGUGACUUGCACUUGGUCAGUAUACAACUUAUUCUUCCCACCAGAGUGAUAGAAAGAAAAAAAGAAACUGAGUUCUGUAUGUUGAGAAAUAUCAUCUUGGCCUUUAAAUUAUUUUAAAAUUAUAGCAACAUGAGUCUUCCUGAAACUUUAUUACUGUAUUUUCUAAAACAUGAUUCCUUCUGGUCUAGGUACUCACCAUCACUCUGAAGGAGCUUCUCACCUCAAGGUGGAGCUCCCCAAAUACAUGUUGGAUUUGUAGUUAAAAACCCACCUGCAGCAGAUAGGCGUGAGGUGGGUGGCAGAAGGGGAGGGGCAGCGCCGGAGGUUGGGUGCUCAGCCUUGGGCUGGAAAUGAGCAAUCAAUAUGCUAAGUACAUGUAAGCCCCAUGCAAAUCAGCACCUAACCUUUUUGAAGGAAAUGUCUGCACCCUUUGCACAAAGGGCUGAGUAGGGACCACCGUUGGGGUUUUCCUGCACCUGUAGGCUGUAAGCUGGAGAGUAAAGGCAAGAAAGCUAAUAUUUUUUUAAGAUUUUAAAACAACCAACAGAACGUGUUCUCCCUUUGUAUCUGAGCAACCAGGAAGCUUCACACACAUACGUGCACACACACAUACACACCUGCUUUCUAUCUAACUAGUAAUUGUGAAAAUAAUAAGACCCCCAGUGAGGGUGGGGGGGUGGACGAGUUGGUAAGUUUCAGUCACAUUUGUAAAAAAGCGGCUGUCAUUUUUGCUUGCCUAUGGGUUUUCAGUACGUACACAGUGCCUAUUCAGCUGCCACGUUCACCAAUUGGACAUUGUUGGGGAAAUUAUAGGACUCAUUUAGAUUUGCGAUCUGUGACAGCCGACACUGUGCAGAAAGAAGAGGAGAAGGUCAGACCCCAGGAGAGAAGAAAAACAGAUAUUUGGGGAAUAGAUGAAUCAGGAUAGGCUUCAUCUUCUAAGGCUUUAUACCAAAAACAGUUACAGGGCAUAAAAGAAAGUAGCUUCCUCCCCAGAUCUUUGCAGCAGGUCAGCAGACAGAAUCUGCUAAAGCAAACUUGGUUUUGCUGUCACAUGGUCAAGGCUGCUGGCGCGAGGAGGAGGGGAGUUCAAGCUGCAAGAGUCAAGGUGGGAGGGGAGACUUUGUGUUUUUUCCUCACUAUCUUUAGUUGAUUUUGGGAGAUUGUGUUAAAUACCAUCUCUACUCACAGCAUAGGCCUGAAGGAUUUACCUGAUACGGCUGAGUCGGACAGCCUUAGUGGGGGUCUUGUCUCAUUUCAGAUAGUCUUGGCUGGGGUCUUGUCUCCUUGGCUUCACAUUGUAACCUGGGGCAAGUGUCAUGACCUCUCUAACCUUCAGUCUCAGCUAUCAAAAGGACACCAUAACAAUAAGCCUGUGAUGGCCACCCUAGCUCACAGGCUGGUAGAUAGGAAGUGCUAAAGGCAUGCUGGCACCCAAUACCCCUUCCACGGAUUUUUCUCCCCCUUGAUAUUAGUUUUUGUUCCAGUCUGCUAAACAGCAUAGCUUGGUUUGAAGCCCAGGCAACGAGCAACCCUCUGUCACUUAGGCCUGUCAGGGGACAUGUCACUGUGUCCCAGAGCCACCUCCUGCCACGUCAGCCAAAGGGACUUCUCCAGGGUCCCAGCAGAGGUCACCUGUGCAGCCAGCUAUUGACACACCUUGUAGAGCAUCCACUCAGCUCUCAGGAAGGGGCUCAGACAGAGGCUCCACUUUGUACAUUCUGAAGUAUAUCUGGCGCAGAGCCCCUGUCCUUCACCAAGGGAGGUGAGGCUGUGGAAGGCAAGCUCAUUUGACAUUGUGAAUUAGAGACUCACUUGGCCACAAACACUCUGGAUGCAGAAGCAGAGUCUCUUGGCUGCUUCAGCCCCAGGUCCAUCUGCUUCUCUGUGGUGAGGUUCCCAAGUACAAGGUCAGAUGCCAACAUCCCAAGGGUAGAGGUGCCAGCCUCAAGCCAGCAUGCACCUUCAGCCAGCUCCAGGCCCUUUUCCCACUAACUUUCUCUGUGAUGACCACAGAGCUGUAAGUAGGUGUGGUGUUCCUUGGCACCUAAUGGUACGUUUGGACUUCUGGGAGAUCAAAAACUUGGAAAAGAGAAAGAUCUAUGGCUGGUUUUAACAGCAAUUAAAUGGGGAUUCAGGUGCCAGUAAGUGUAAGAUACUGAACCUAAUUCCAAGAAACCAUCUUUACUUUGCCAGCACACACAAACACAUGAGUGAACUGGUGCCUGAGCAAUAUUUUCUUUUCAUAAGAAGAGCCCUCUGAAAUCCUGGAAUUCCAUCCCUAUAAGGAACCUCUAGACCUGAGAAUGGUUCAAUCUCUAGCUUGGAAAAAAAAAACAUAAUUCAUGACCCUGGAUAGUCACAGAGCUUCCUGCUAUGACAGAAUUUGACAAUUUCCAUCUGGCCAGACACUGACAAAAGAAUAAGGGAGAGACUCUAACUGAAACAAGUCUCCCCUCUCAUCUCCCAGCAGGUACUAGCGUGGCAGGCUCAUGACUCAUGUUUUUAAAGAACUAAAUAGGAACACAUUUUAAGAGGGUAAGAAGAAAAAGCCAAGGUGAGCUCCUGGAGGGGACUGGGCUCUGGAAACCUUCAGUCCUCCCUGAAUUCACCUGGUUCCUAGAAAACAUGCAUAGCUCCCAAAAGUUUCCAGAGGGAGGUUUGUGGAAUAUGUUCAUUAUGAAUUUGUUAAUUGCAUCAGAGAUCAAUGUGAAUACAGCAUCGCAGCCUCCACUCAGCAAUGUCCUCUGGCCUUUGCUGUUUUCUCAGUUCAGCAUGUGAUGUGGGGCGGGAUAGUCCACCCCUCCUUACUGAGUCACCUCUAGUCUUUUGCUAACACUACCCGAGCUACUACGCUAGGAAGAAAUGCUCUGGGAACAAGGGCAGAAAGUUUCUGUGGGAGGCAAUGCUUCCACCAGAAGGUCAACAUGCACUAGUGGGAGAAAUUCAUGUGACUAAGUGAUUCAAUCGAUGAGGACAUUUUGUUCUUUUGGAAUAACUCAGUGGUCGUUGUGCCCCGGAUCACUCAGUGUGCUUCUCCUUCCUUCUGGUUAACUUACCUAGCUCCACUGCAUUUAGAAGAGGCUCUUUGCACUUGUCUAUAGUCUGGUAAACAAAGAAGGACCAAGGUAUCUCAGCUGACAGAUGCUGGUUUGAACUGUGUUCCCUUUGCUAGCAAAGGAGAAAUCCUCUUUCAUCAAGGAAAUUGUAUUAGUUCAUUUUCAUACUGCUAUGAAGAAAUACCUGAGACUAGGUAAUUUAUAAAGGAAAGAGGCUUAAUGGACUCAAUUCCACAUGGCUGGGGAGGCCUCACAAUCAUGGCAGAAGCUGAAGGAGGAGUAAAGUCACGUGUUACAUGGCGGCAGACAAGAGAGCACGUGCGGGGGAACUGCUCUUUAGAACCAUCAGAUCUUGUGAGACUUAUUCACUAUCAUGAGAACAGCAUGGGAAAAACCCGACCCCGUGAUUCAGUUACCUCCCACGAUACAUGGGAAUUAUGAGAGCUAAAAUUCAGGAUGAGAUUUGGGUGGGGACGCAGCCAAACCAUACAGAAAUUAUCAAAAGAGUAGAAGGCUGAAGCCAGGAUCACUGAGAUUCUAGGUCACAAACCUCCCUACAAACCUUGAGCACCAUGACUUGCUUGUAAGUCCUACCCCUUGGGAAGCUUCGUCCCAUCAGUGGGUCUUUUAUUUUUCCCCAUGGCCAAUUGCAUAUAAAUCAAAUUCCAUGGACCAGGCACGAAGGAGAAGUCUUUCUUUAGAGAAUUUUCUGGACUUAGGGGUUUUGACCUUAUCUCCUAUACUUUUUAUUCCAUAAAGUUCAUCAAGUUAGUCAAGACAUACUGGGGCCGUAUGGAAAUUAGUCUGUAACUGGCACAAGUUAUGAGAAAGCAUUUUAUAAACCUGUGAAUGACUUUAGAAUGUCUUCCCUUAGAAGGGUGACCAAGGGGCUAUAGAAACACAUGUCUAAGCUUUGUGUUAGCUUUUAUUAGGAAUAAGACUGUUGGGAGUUCAGUGACUAGGAGUUCAUAUAAAAUGAAGUUUCUACCACUGUCAACAAGCAGGACUUCUUUUAUGUUUUAUUUCCAAGGAGAGAAAAUGCAUUCUGAGUAGUCAUCUGUUAUUGGAAAACAAGGUUUUAUAGCUGGUGUCCUUGAAAUAGUAUUCCUCAUCUCCCUGCCUCACACCAUAUUAAAAAAAAUAACUAAAUCCAGGGUGGCUAAGAGAGCUAAGUAGGAGAGGGGGCACUCUCUAUAUACAUGUAGAAAUAAAAUACAAAGAAAUAUUAAAAACAAACAGUAAUGUUGAAGAUGGAAGGCCUUACUAAUCAAAACAUAAAGCCUAGAAACCAUAAUGGAAGUAAAUAUUUCAUCUUUCAUUCAGUUGAACAACCUUUCAAAAUUUCUGUGUACCAUGAAUACAGUCUAAUGGGAAGCAAAAGACAUAAAUAGAUAUUUAUUCUGUAAACUCAUCAAGUUAGUCAAGACAUACUGGGGCCAUACAGAAAUCCUUCUGUAACUGGCACAAGUCAUUAAACACAAAUAAAUAUCUAUUUUCCUGUUUACAUAUAUAUAUAUACACACACAGGAAAAUAAUUGGUGCCUGAGUUAUAUGCCCUCCUCUUAUAACUCAGUAAGAAAAAUCCACUCAAUGUAAUAGGAAGAAAGGUCAAGAAAUGAUCCUUCUUAAAACAAAUCCAACUUGGAUUAAUGCCUAAGCUUAAAUCUAGCCAAUUUAAUGAGGCCUCAUCUGCACCCUCCUACACCCAACUAAACCAACAGAAGGAGUCAGUAAGAAGUCACCCACAAGAGAAAUGACCUGGUGACAAGUAAGGUCUAAUGGCUUUAGCUAGAAAAACUUACCUAUCAUGAGAAACGUCUUAGGAAACAUACAUAUCAGCUUCACUGAUCUUCAAGGCAUCCAAAAUAUGUGUUGUGUUUCUUAUAUACCUCAAGGAAUGAACAUAUUUACUUUCACCCUGAUAUGAGUCACCUGGAUCUAAAGACAUUGUUGAAUAAUAUCCUGAUUUCUCUGAUUCUGACUGUCAAUGAAAAUGAAAAAGUAAAGAACUGCUUCUCAUGCCUGGCUCAUACGCCUCUGGAAACACAAAGGGAAGCUCAGCACAGUGUGACCAAGUGAUGGGAUGUUCUCAUUCUGUGAACUGUGGGUAAGGCAAAGUACUGCUUCAAUACAGGAGGCAUUCAUUGCCAUGGGCUCUGCUACUUAUUUGCUUCUCUCUGAGGCAUUAUCUAUUUUGUAUGAUGGAACUGUCAUCAACAGAUUCAAUGCAACCUAUUUUGUGGUCUUCCAUAUCUAUUUUUCAGGAAAACAAAACCAUUCAGGAUAGAAUUUUGAUGUUUGGGCACUAUUUUACACCUGGCUCAUUCCCCCUCCUAACCACACCCCCCACCACCAUUUCCAUCUUUCAGGUUCCUGAAUGGUGAAUCCAAAGCCCAUACAACACCCAAAUCCAGCUGGAAAGUGGAAAAUUAACUCUGUUUUCAACAUGUGAAUGGUCUUUGUGUGCCAUGUGUUUAAGGCUUACAGCUAUAAACCUCGGGAAAGAAAUAAGUUGGAUGCGAUAAUGUCUGUAGUGUAUUCCAACUCUAAAAUGUUAGAAUCCAACAAUAGAAAUUGGCUAAAUAAAUUAUGUUACAUCCAUAAGAUGGAAUAUUAUCUAGGCAUUUAAUGUGAUGUGGGAGAAUACAAAAUGACAAUGGGAAAAUGUUCAUGAUAUAGGAAGGGGGAAAACAGAUUAUAAAGCAUUAUGUACUGUAAAAUAACAGUUUUGUUAGAAAUGAAAAUAAAUACUGUGUGCACACACCCAUAUGCACAUGACAGACUGGAAGGAUCAAAAUUUUAAAAAAUAACUGUAGUUAAUUUUAAGGAAUACAGGUACAUUUCAUUUUUCUCUUACUGCUUUUGUGUGUCUGAAACCUUUAGUAGGGAACACAUAGUGCUUUUGUAAACAGAGAAACAUACAGUUCAGUGAUAUUAAGUAUAUUCACAUGUGCAACCAUUACCAUUAUCACUCUCUAGUUCUAGAAUGUUUUAUUGUCCUAAGAGGAAAUCUGUACCUAUGAAGUUAUCACUUACCAUCACUCUCUAUCCCUAGUUUCUAGUAACCACUCAUCUACUUUGUGUCUAUUGAUUUGCCUAUUCUGGACAUUUCAUGCAAAUGAAACCAUGCAAUAUGUGAUCUCCAUGUUUGGCAU
rnacentral:lncRNA from 1 species